UACGGAGGGUGCAAGCGUUGCUCGGAAUCACUGGGCGUAAAGGGCGCGUAGGCGGGAUGGCAAGUCAGUCGUGAAAUCUCUCGGCUCAACCGAGAAACGUCGGCUGAUACUGCCGUUCUUGAGGGAUGCAGAGGAGACUGGAAUUCCCGGUGUAGCGGUGAAAUGUGUAGAGAUCGGGAGGAACACCGGUGGCGAAGGCGGGUCUCUGGGCAUUUCCUGACGCUGAGGCGCGAAAGCGUGGGGAGCAAACGGG
rnacentral:rRNA from 1 species